AGUCAUAACAAGGUUACUGUAGGUGAACCUGCAGUAGGAUCAUUAGAGAAUUGAAUUAGGAGCACCACUCUGUGGGCUCCGAACCCCUUCCUAAUCCUAUCACACCUGUGCAUGCAUGAUCGUGUCUGGCUACUGUCGCCUAGCGGCUCUGGCUGGAUGCGGUUGUCUAUUUCAUUCAACUCUUAGUUAAUGGAUGUUAUACAACCGAGUAUUUAAUACUCAAAUGAAAGUAAAACUUUCGACAACGGAUCUCUUGGUUCUCC
rnacentral:misc_RNA from 1 species